UGACACGUAGGCACCAAGCGUUGUCCGGAUUUAUUGGGCGUAAAGAGCUCGUAGGCGGUUCAGUAAGUCGGGUGUGAAAACUCUGGGCUUAACCCAGAGCCGCCACCCGAUACUGCUGUGACUAGAGUCCGGUAGGGGAGUGGGGAAUUCCUAGUGUAGCGGUGAAAUGCGCAGAUAUUAGGAGGAACACCGGUGGCGAAGGCGCCACUCUGGGCCGGAACUGACGCUGAGGAGCGAAAGCGUGGGUAGCAAACAGGAUUAGAUACCCUGGUAGUCCACGCCGUAAACGUUGGGCACUAGGUGUGGGCCUCAACCAACGAGGUCCGUGCCGUCGCUAACGCAUUAAGUGCCCCGCCUGGGGAGUACGGCCGCAAGGCUA
rnacentral:rRNA from 1 species